rnacentral:rRNA from 1 species
UACGUAGGGGGCAAGCGUUGUCCGGAUUCAUUGGGCGUAAAGCGCGUGUAGGCGGCCAGGUAGGUCUGGUGUGAAAACUUGAGGCUCAACCCCAAGAGGUCAUCGGAAACCAUCUGGCUAGAGUCCGGAAGAGGAGAGUGGAAUUCCCGGUGUAGCGGUGAAAUGCGCAGAUAUCGGGAAGAACACCUAUGGCGAAGGCAGCUCUCUGGGACGGUACUGACGCUGAGACGCGAAAGCGUGGGGAGCGAACAGG